UACAGAGGGUGCGAGCGUUGUCCGGAAUCACUGGGCGUAAAGGGCGCGUAGGUGGUGGCUUAAGCGUGCGGUGAAAGCUCGGGGCUCAACCCCGAGUCGGCCGUGCGAACUGGGCUCACUGGAGCAUAGUAGAGGCAGGUGGAAUUCCGGGUGUAGCGGUGGAAUGCGUAGAUAUCAGGAGGAACACCUGUGGCGAAAGCGGCUCACUGGACCAUAACUGACGCUGAUGCACGAAAGCUAGGGGAGCAAACAGG
rnacentral:rRNA from 1 species